rnacentral:rRNA from 1 species
UACAGAGGGGGCAAGCGUUAUUCGGAAUUAUUGGGCGUAAAGGGCGCGUAGGCGGCCUUUCAAGUGACGGGUGAAAUCCCCCGGCUUAACCGGGGAACUGCCUGUCAGACUGGGAGGCUUGAGACCGGGAGAGGUGAGUGGAAUUCCCAGUGUAGCGGUGAAAUGCGUAGAUAUUGGGAGGAACACCAGUGGCGAAGGCGGCUCACUGGACCGGUACUGACGCUGAGGCGCGAAAGCUAGGGGAGCAAACAGG